GAUGAACGCUGGCGGCGUGCUUAACACAUGCAAGUCGAACGAAACACCUUAUUUGAUUUUCUUCGGAACUGAAGAUUUGGUGAUUGAGUGGCGGACGGGUGAGUAACGCGUGGGUAACCUACCCUGUACAGGGGGAUAACAGUCAGAAAUGACUGCUAAUACCGCAUAAGACCACAGCACCGCAUGGUGCAGGGGUAAAAACUCCGGUGGUACAGGAUGGACCCGCGUCUGAUUAGCUGGUUGGUGAGGUAACGGCUCACCAAGGCGACGAUCAGUAGCCGGCUUGAGAGAGUGAACGGCCACAUUGGGACUGAGACACGGCCCAAACUCCUACGGGAGGCAGCAGUGGGGAAUAUUGCACAAUGGGGGAAACCCUGAUGCAGCGACGCCGCGUGAGUGAAGAAGUAUCUCGGUAUGUAAAGCUCUAUCAGCAGGGAAG
rnacentral:rRNA from 1 species